rnacentral:rRNA from 1 species
UACGGGGGGGGCAAGCGUUGUUCGGAAUUACUGGGCGUAAAGCGCACGUAGGCGGAUUGUUAAGUCAGGGGUGAAAUCCCUGGGCUCAACCCAGGAACUGCGUCCGAUACUGGUUGGCUUGAAUCCGGGAGAGGGAUGUGGAAUUCCAGGUGUAGCGGUGAAAUGCGUAGAUAUCUGGAGGAACACCGGUGGCGAAGGCGGCAUCCUGGACCGGUAUUGACGCUGAGGCGCGAAAGCCAGGGGAGCAAACGGG